rnacentral:rRNA from 1 species
GAUGAACGCUGGCGGCGUGCUUAACACAUGCAAGUCGAACGGAAAGGCCCAAGCUUGCUUGGGUACUCGAGUGGCGAACGGGUGAGUAACACGUGGGUGAUCUGCCCUGCACUUCGGGAUAAGCCUGGGAAACUGGGUCUAAUACCGGAUAGGACCACUUCUUGGAUGUUGUGGUGGAAAGUUUUUUCGGUGUGGGAUGAGCUCGCGGCCUAUCAGCUUGUUGGUGGGGUAAUGGCCUACCAAGGCGUCGACGGGUAGCCGGCCUGAGAGGGUGUACGGCCACAUUGGGACUGAGAUACGGCCCAGACUCCUACGGGAGGAAGCAGUGGGGAAUAUUGCACAAUGGGCGCAAGCCUGAUGCAGCGACGCCGCGGGGGGGAUGACGGCCUUCGGGUUGUAAACUCCUUUCGCUAGGGACGAAGCGUUUUGUGACGGUACCUGGAGAAGAAGCACCGGCUAACUACGUG